AUUGAACGCUGGCGGCAGGCCUAACACAUGCAGGUCGAGCGGAUGAAGGGAGCUUGCUCCUGGAUUCAGCGGCGGACGGGUGAGUAAUGCCUAGGAAUCUGCCUGGUAGUGGGGGAUAACGUCCGGAAACGGGCGCUAAUACCGCAUACGUCCUGAGGGAGAAAGUGGGGGAUCUUCGGACCUCACGCUAUCAGAUGAUCCUAGGUCGGAUUAGCUAGUUGGUGGGGUAAAGGCCUACCAAGGCGACGAUCCGUAACUGGUCUGAGAGGAUGAUCAGUCACACUGGAACUGAGACACGGUCCAGACUCCUACGGGAGGCAGCAGUGGGGAAUAUUGGACAAUGGGCGAAAGCCUGAUCCAGCCAUGCCGCGUGUGUGAAGAAGGUCUUCGGAUUGUAAAGCACUUUAAGUUGGGAGGAAGGGCAGUAAGUUAAUACCUUGCUGUUUUGACGUUACCAACAGAAUAAGCACCGGCUAACUUCGUG
rnacentral:rRNA from 1 species